rnacentral:rRNA from 1 species
CCUACGGGAGGCAGCAGUGGGGAAUAUUGGACAAUGGGGGGAACCCUGAUCCAGCGACGCCGCGUGAGUGAAGAAGUAUUUCGGUAUGUAAAGCUCUAUAAGCAGGGAAGAAAGAAAUGACGGUACCUGAAUAAGAAGCUCCGGCUAACUACGUGCCAGCAGCCGCGGUAAUACGUAGGGGGCAAGCGUUAUUCGGAUUGACUGGGUGUAAAGGGAGCGUAGACGGGGUUGCAAGUCGGAGGUGAAAGGCGGGGGCCCAACCCCUGGACUGCUUUGGAAACUGUAUGGCUGGAGUGCAGGAGAGGUAAGUGGAAUUCCUAGUGUAGCGGUGGAAUGCGUAGAUAUUAGGAGGAACACCAGUGGCGAAGGCGGCUUACUGGACUGUAACUGACGUUGAGGCUCGAAAGCGUGGGGAGCAAACAGGAUUAGAUACCCUUGUAGUC